rnacentral:ncRNA from 1 species
AAGUCGACUCAUCACAUCAUGGGGUUGAUGAAGGUCCCAAGGGUUCGAUUGUUCACCGAUUUAAGUGAUACGUGAGUUGAGUUUAAAACGUCUUGAGAUAGUUC